rnacentral:sRNA from 1 species
ACUUUUCGAUUUCGCUCGCCGUCGCGCUGUCGGCCGGCGGCGCCGUGACGUCCU